UCGGAUAUGGUGUAAUGGUUAACAUUACCGCCUCUCAAGCUUAGGAUUCGCGGUAGCUCGGGGUUCGAUUCCCCGUAUCCGAA